UCUUGAAAUUUUAUUUAAAAUUAUAUAAAGAAAAAAAUUAGGUGCUUUAAUUUUUUUAUUUGUGAGUAUUUUUUUGCUCUAACCAUUUUAUUUAAUAAUGAGUGUUUUUUUUAGUUGGGGCUAGUGCAGAGAUGACAGAAAAAAUGUAUGUUUGAGUGAGAGAGAUGAAGGAGAAAGGGUUAAGAGGAAUGAAGGAGGUGAGUAAGGGUUGGAGGUUUCUUUUUUUAAUCUUGAGAAUGAAAAUUAUUAAAAUAAAGCAAGUGUUUCUGAUUUUUUUCAAUUGGGGCUAGAGUAUGGAUGACAGAGAGAAAAUGUUGGAGUGAAAGAGAUGAAAGAGAAAGGGUUGAGAGGAAUGAGAGAGGUGGGUAAGGGUUUGGGGGGUUUCUUUUUUUAUUUUUUUAAUUUUGAGAAUGAAAAUUUUUAAAAUACCCUUAACCUUAAAACUUAAAAUUCAUGAUAUAUAAGGGUAUUUUUGUCUACUGAAACCCGAUAUACAUUGCUA
rnacentral:lncRNA from 1 species